AUUUUAAUUAUGCGUACAGAUAUUUUAUUGUUUAGAGUACUAUUUAAGAACAUUCUUUAAUUUCCAAAUAUCAGUACUACCGCAUAUUUAACACUAUCAAGAAUAUGAAAUUUCCAAGCGCUUUGCUGACCCUUUUCCUAGGAACUAUUUUGAUGAUGAAUUUCGGAACAUCUGUAGGCCAAAUGCCACCAGGUCCACCUGGUGGUGGACCUCCAUCAGGUAUGCCUUCUGGAGCUGAUGGUUUUAUGGGUGGAUUAGGAGGUGAUAUGUCAAUGGGUGGUGGACCAGGGAAUGCACAUGGCUAGGUUAAGCUCGUCGCUAAAUUUAAUACGUUUUAAAGUGUAUUAAUAAAAUUUCAGAACAUUGAGCA